UGUCGGGUUGAUAACUAGGCGGCGGUUUCAAAUUAUUGCACCCCACGACCUUUGCCCUUUAAGUGCCCGAAAGAUUGACUCUUCUCUUGCGACUGAGUCUUACACAUUUGCUUGCUCGUUUUGUCCAUGUUUGUUUAAUGUUUAUUCGGUCGCAACAUCA
rnacentral:snoRNA from 1 species